AGAGUUUGAUCCUUGCUCAGGAUGAACGCUGGCGGCGUGCCUAACACAUGCAAGUCGAACGAAGCGCUUUUCCCGAAUUUUCGGAGGAGGGGAGAGUGACUGAGUGGCGGACGGGUGAGUAACGCGUGGGUAACCUGCCCUGUACACACGGAUAACAUACCGAAAGGUAUGCUAAUACAAGAUAAAAUACUUUUAUCGCAUGGUAGAAGUAUCAAAGCUUUUGCGGUACAGGAUGGACCCGCGUCUGAUUAGCUAGUUGGUAAGGUAACGGCCCACCAAGGCGACGAUCAGUAGCCGACCUGAGAGGGUGACCGGCCACAUUGGGACUGAGACACGGCCCAAACUCCUACGGGAGGCAGCAGUGGGGAAUAUUGCACAAUGGGGGAAACCCUGAUGCAGCAACGCCGCGUGAGUGAAGAAGUAUUUCGGUAUGUAAAGCUCUAUCAGCAGGGAAGAAGAUGACGGUACCUGAGUAAGAAGCCCCGGCUAACUACGUGCCAGCAGCCGCGGUAAUACGUAGGUGGCAAGCGUUAUCCGGAUUUACUUGGUGUAAAGGGCGUGUAGGCGGGACUGCAAGUCAGAUGUGAAAACCACGGGCUCAACCUGUGGCCUGCAUUUGAAACUGUAGUUCUUGAGUACUGGAGAGGCAGACGGAAUUCCUAGUGUAGCGGUGAAAUGCGUAGAUAUUAGGAGGAACACCAGUGGCGAAGGCGGUCUGCUGGACAGCAACUGACGCUGAGGCGCGAAAGCGUGGGGAGCAAACAGGAUUAGAUACCCUGGUAGUCCACGCUGUAAACGAUGGAUACUAGGUGUGGGGGGACUGACCCCCUCCGUGCCGCAGUUAACACAAUAUGUAUCCCACCGGGGGAGUACGAUCGCAAGGUUGAAACUCAAAGGAAUUGACGGGGGCCCCGCACAAGCGGUGGAGUAUGUGGUUUAAUUGGAAGCAACGCGAAGAACCCUACCUGGCCUUGACAUCCCGGUGAAUGCAGGGUAAUGCCUGCAGCCUUUCGGGGCAGCGGAGACAGGUGGUGCAUGGUUGUCGUCAGCUCGUGUCGUGAGAUGUUGGGUCAAGUCCCGCAACGAGCGCAACCCCUGCCCCUAGUAGCCAGCACGUAAAGGUGGGCACUCUAGGGGGACUGCCGGGGACAACCCGGAGGAGGGCGGGGACGACGUCAAAUCAUCAUGCCCCUUAUGGCCAGGGCUACACACGUGCUACAAUGGCGUGCACAGAGGGAAGCAAAGCGGCGACGCCAAGCAAAGCCCGGAAAGCACGCCUCAGUUCGGAUUGCAGCCUGCAACUCGGCUGCAUGAAGCCGGAAUCGCUAGUAAUCGCGGAUCAGAACGCCGCGGUGAAUACAUUCCCGGGUCUUGUACUCACCGCCCGUCA
rnacentral:rRNA from 1 species